GCCUACCGCCAUACCACUCACAACAUGCCUGAUCUCGUCUGAUCUCUGAAGCUAAGCAGGGCUGGGCCUGGUUAGUACUUGGAUGGGAGAAAAACACCUAGGAAUAAUUAUUGUUUUGGCU
rnacentral:rRNA from 1 species